CGAAGUGAGUGGCGAACGGGUGAGUAACACGUGGGUAACCUGCCCAGAAGUAGGGGAUAACACCUGGAAACAGAUGCUAAUACCGUAUAACAGAGAAAACCGCAUGGUUUUCUUUUAAAAGAUGGCUCUGCUAUCACUUCUGGAUGGACCCGCGGCGUAUUAGCUAGUUGGUGAGGUAAAGGCUCACCAAGGCAGUGAUACGUAGCCGACCUGAGAGGGUAAUCGGCCACAUUGGGACUGAGACACGGCCCAGACUCCUACGGGAGGCAGCAGUAGGGAAUCUUCCACAAUGGACGCAAGUCUGAUGGAGCAACGCCGCGUGAGUGAAGAAGGGUUUCGGCUCGUAAAGCUCUGUUGUUAAAGAAGAACGUGGGUAAGAGUAACUGUUUACCCAGUGACGGUAUUUAACCAGAAAGCCACGGCUAACUACGUGCCAGCAGCCGCGGUAAUACGUAGGUGGCAAGCGUUAUCCGGAUUUAUUGGGCGUAAAGCGAGCGCAGGCGGUCUUUUAAGUCUAAUGUGAAAGCCUUCGGCUCAACCGAAGAAGUGCAUUGGAAACUGGGAGACUUGAGUGCAGAAGAGGACAGUGGAACUCCAUGUGUAGCGGUGAAAUGCGUAGAUAUAUGGAAGAACACCAGUGGCGAAGGCGGCUGUCUGGU
rnacentral:rRNA from 1 species